rnacentral:rRNA from 1 species
UACGUAGGGACCGAGCGUUGUCCGGAUUCAUUGGGCGUAAAGAGCUCGUAGGCGGCUGCUCAAGUCGAAUGUGAAAACUCGAGGCUCAACCUCGAGCCUGCAUUCGAUACUGGGCGGCUAGAGUCUGGUAGGGGGAUCUGGAAUUCCUGGUGUAGCGGUGAAAUGCGCAGAUAUCAGGAAGAACACCCGUGGCGAAGGCGGGUCUCUGGACAGUUCCUGACACUGAGGCACGAAGGCCAGGGGAGCAAACGGG